rnacentral:snoRNA from 1 species
AUUCCAUGAUGGGGACAAUCUAGGAUGUAGUCUUGGAAGCGCUCCCAUGCUUCUGGAACAAAUUCAUCAUUUUGUUGCUGAAAACUUGUAAUCUUCCCACGGAGAGC